GGGAGCCCUGCAGGCCCUAGGUGUGGGGUUUUAUAGUCUUAAUGAUGGUGAUUAGCGUGGCUCUUAAUUGAUUCUGCCAACACCUAACUGUGCCCUGGCCCCCUUUCCAACCUUCCUGGGGCAACUUUUGCCCCUUCUCUCCCUGAGGUGCUCGUGGGGGUGCAAGAGGUGCCUUGAGAAGAGGAUGGGAGGCCUUGCUGGAGCAUGGGGCCAUGGAACUGGAGAGAGGGAGCAGUGA
rnacentral:lncRNA from 1 species